rnacentral:rRNA from 1 species
GACGAACGCUGGCGGCGUGCUUAACACAUGCAAGUCGAACGGAAAGGCCCUGCUUUUGUGGGGUGCUCGAGUGGCGAACGGGUGAGUAACACGUGAGUAACCUGCCCUUGACUUUGGGAUAACUUCAGGAAACUGGGGCUAAUACCGGAUAGGAGCUCCUGCUGCAUGGUGGGGGUUGGAAAGUUUCGGCGGUUGGGGAUGGACUCGCGGCUUAUCAGCUUGUUGGUGGGGUAGUGGCUUACCAAGGCUUUGACGGGUAGCCGGCCUGAGAGGGUGACCGGCCAAAUUGGGAAUGAGAGACGGCACAGACUACGACGGGAGGCAGCAGUGGGGAAGAGUGAACAAGGGGCGGAAGCCUGAUGCAGCAACGCCGCGUGCGGGAUGACGGCCGUCGGGUGGUAAAAAGCUUGCGCCUGUGACGAAGCGGGAGUGAAGGUAAUGGGUAAAGAAGCACCGGCUAACUAAGUG